rnacentral:tRNA from 1 species
UCCCAGGUGGCUCAGUGGUAAAGAACCUGCCUGCCAAGCAGGAGACACAGGUUCAAUCCCUGGGUCGGGAA